GGACGUAGUGGAGCGCAGAUCUGAACUCAGAAAAUGCAUCAAUAUGUAGAGAUUUCUUUUUUUCUUUCUCGUUUUCUAUGAAUAUGUUGAUAAUAUUCACAAAGGCAGAAGGAAAUAGAAAGAUGAUAAAACGAGAUUGAGAGAAGUGUAGAGAGAAAGGAUGGGUUUGUAAUUGGGAGAAUGAGCGAAUUGGCGAAGCAGCGGUGGGGAAUAACUAGAGGGAGGAGAAAAGGAGUGAUAGUGUGUGAACUAUAUGCUCUUAGCUAGAGGGUAGUUCGGACGUCGGUUUUCUUUGUUGGCCGGUUGAACUAUAAGAAUGAAACUCUCAGAGGACCCAAGGUGGCUUACUCGGUGUGAGUGCUCAGAUGCUUAAGAUAGUACUUUGCGUGCGAGCCGAAAGCUUGUAUGUUAGAAGGCUAGUGAGCAAAUAAUUGUGUGUACCUUGUGACGUUGAGGUUAGUGCCCUUAUAUAGGUGAGCUGUCAUAGGUCUUACGAGACACCUCCGAGAUCCCUGGCUCGUGCUACUAGGAAUAUGUUCUGCACCAGGAGAUGGAGUUCGUGUUAGUUGAUAAGGCUUAUCGAGUCCAUCCGAUCCAGACGGGAUAAGGAUAAGACUUGCAAGCAUGCAACAUAAUCUUGGAGAGCUUGGAGACAGCUGGCUAGCUUCUAGAUGUUGGCUACGUGUCACCUCGGCAGGUCGGGCCAUCAUGAGCUGCUCAGACCUCGGUCUUGAUCGAGGUGCCCGAGGUACUUGAGUUGACCUGGCUCGCUGAGGUGGCAUGGAAUGUCAAGUCAUCAUUCAAUCAGUAGGUCGCUUCCAUGUGUUCGGGUGUUGAUAGGUCGGGCCAAAUUACCCCUCAUCAAUUGCCCCUCACUCCUGUGCUAGGGGUAUUUGACCCGGUGCGGGAGUUUAUGACAAGCCUGGGUGGAUUUAGCCCGGUCUUCAUCUUGGCCGUGGUCUGAUUUGUGGGUCAGACCAAAAUGACUCGAUUGGCUCAACCUUAGAGCUAGACCACGUCUUGGGGAUGCACAGACGUCACUCGGAUUAUAAAUUUCGUGGACGUCAAACACGCGCUCAAACGAUUUUGACCUAGAAAGUCGUGCGACCACCCUCAUAGGAGCUGUCAGAUUAGAUUGAUCUAAUCCACCUGUGAUCGACUACAAUGGCUAUAAAUAGGGGACUUGGGGUCCCAUUUUCUUUGUCUUCCAGGUCAGUCAUCUGUUCUUGAGGUCGGUCUCCUCCUUUUUAGGUAAGCUACCUUCCCUUGUUCUAGUUUCUUCUUGUCUUCAUUUCCAUCAUGUCAAGUAGCAGUAGUUUGUUUGAGGAGAGUGGGGAGUUUGGUCAGGCCGAGGAGGGCAACUCGGCUCAAGAUCUAGAGUUCGGUCCAACCGAGGUGGGCACCUUGGUUCAGGACCAAAAAUCCUCCUAUAAGAAAGUGUCGUCUUCAUGUUGCACACAUCCAUCUCGAGAACUAGACCGACCGCUUUGGUCCUUUUGCUAUGUCACCCGAGUAGAGCCAUGCUUUAGCUACUCGGUAUAAAUUUCCCGAUCACUAUGGUUAUUUCCUGCCCUUGGAGCACUUGAUUGCCGGGCUUUGCUUCCUUCUUCACCUCUUCUUUAUUGAAGUUUUGAAAUAUUUUAAAAUUACCAUCAAUCAACUCCACCCGAACUCAGUUCGCACCCUGGUCGGUACCAUCUCUGUUUUUUACGACUUUGACUUUCCCUUAGACUUAGAUACUUUUAGCUCGCUCUGCUCCAUAAAAUAGAAUCUAGCUGGUCCUAAGGAUGGGAACAAGUAUAGUUACUAUAUACCAUACUGGCUUGGAUAUAAGCUUCUUCAUGAGUAUCCCUCAAAAGUCCUAGCCUGGAAGAGUAGAUACUUCACUCGUGCCGUUGAUGGGGGAUGACCUUUCCCAACUCACUGGAGGAAAGGCACUAGUGAACCCGGGGAUUGAUUGGAUAGGAAGAUGAAGAAGAAAAUGUGAACCAUGGUAGAGCUCAGCUAAAGCCGAAGGACUACUUGGUUGAGGAGAAACUCGUUAAGGCCAGGCGAAGUCGCUCGGGUAUUAUGGUUGAUAUUCCGAUGUCCAAACUUUUCUCCAACAUGAAGAAGAUAAAGAAGAGGAAGGCCUCUCGAGGAAAUUCUUCCCAAAAACUAGCAACCGAGUCCGCUGUCCCUGCUAGGGACAAGGAGGACCAAGAGAGGAAGUCACUGCCUCACCAGCCCGAGUUAGCCUAGUUUUCCAAGCUUUGGCCCAAUCAUCCUAGGGCAGGCUCUUUAGGUGAGGGCCCCAAGGAGAGCCAGAGCAUCAUGGACAUCCGGGUUAGCCUCAAAAAGAGCAAGGAGGCAAUUUUCCCCGAAGAAGUCUCUAAGUUUGCCGAGUUGCAGAUUCCCGAGCUAGGCGCCCAGACAAACUCCAUGAUCCACUCACUCCUAAAGUAGUCCGAGCCACAGGCUGCGAAAGUAUAAGCUGCUGAGGUAGUGGUCGCAGAGUGCCGGACCAAGCUAGUGAAGGCUAUUGACAAUAUCAGAAAGCUGGAGGCUGAGGUGGCAGCGAAGAACGGGCAUAUCGAGAGAUUGACAAAGGAGUCCGACGAGCAAAGGAACACUUUCACUCAGUGCGAAGCCCUUCUUACUCAGGGGAUCAAGGACGCCAAGGUCCUUGCUAUCAAAAACUACAAGGCUUCGUUGGAGUUCAACAAACUUAGGUAGGACCUCAGUACAAUAGCCUUCCGAAAGGGCUUUAAGCUAUGUCAUUGGUUGGCUAGGUGUGUGUUCCUCGAGCUUGACCUUGGAGUUGUCACCACAAUCGGAGUCACUACAGAGAUGAUGCUUGAAACUGACAAAGACCUAGACUCUGAGGAGGAAGGUGAUGACGAUGUCGACGAGGGAACUGUGGAGAAGGACAUCCCAGAUGCCACUGCCGAGGAGGCCAUGGAGACUGAUGAGGCCAAAGACAGUUCUAGAACUACCGAGGCUAGGGGCAAGGAGCCCCAUGAUGAUUAAUCUCUCCCUCUUUUGUUGGACCCCCUAUACAAACAUCAUCUACUGAGCCUCCGAGCUUGGUUUAGUAGACUUUUCUCUCUCUUCUUUUUUUUUUGAAUUUACAAAUUAACCUUUUGAAGUAAUGGAACACAACUCUUCUUUUCUUCACCUCGCAUGCAACAAGGAUAAGAUUUGUAGACUUAGUUGAUAAGGCUUAUUGAGUUCGUCCAAUCCAAGCAGCAUAAGGAUAAGACUUGCAGACGUGCAGCGUGAUCCCGAAGAGCUUGGAGACAACUGACUAGUUUCUAGAAGUUGGCUACAUGUCACUUUGGCAAGCCGAGCCAUAACGAGCUACUCGGACCUUGGUCUUGGUCGAGGUGCUCGAGGUACCUGAGCUGACCUGGCUCGCUGAGGUGGCAUGGAAUGUCGAGUCAUCAUCCAAUUAGCAGGUUACUUCCACGUGUCCAGAUGUUAAUAGGUUGAGCCAAAUUACCCCUCAUCAAGGAGGAAGAGGGAGUUUGAGUGGAUUUAAUAUUUUUUUUGUCUUUUUGUAUCUGGUUCAACUGGAUUCCAAUUGCUAAUGGUAGAAAACCCAUUAAAUAAAACCAAAAUUCAAAAUGCUACAUGGUAGCUCCUUAUUGGUGGGUUGACGCAUCCAGUGCAAAUGCGGACUCAUUACUGAGGAUAAGAUAUACAUAAAAAUAUAGAUAGGCCUAAUGCAGAUUUCUGAAUUUCACUACAAAUCUAUAAGCACUCAAAAGUUCAAAAACCCACACUCCUCCAAGGGUUGUCAUUGUUGCCUUCCAUCUCUAUCUAUCACCUAGCCGACUAGCCUGCCCACUCACGUAGUGGCAGAGGGAGCGAUUCAAGGGCCAUUUGAUAAUAGUUGAAGUGGCUGGAUUAUUGAAACACUUGUUGCUUUUGUAAGAAGUGUAUAUGGAUACUGUUUAUAACAAAAGGAGUAUAGAAAUGUAACUUCUAAGAGAAAAUAAUUCAGUUGUAACAAAUUAAAGAAAUCUGAUAGAAAAAUAAUGUAAUUAUAAAAAAUAGAGUAGAAAACCAUCAAUAGCAAGCAAAGUUAGAAAAGUAAGAAAAUGGAGAAAAUUGGACCUAUUGGUUUAACCGUGUCUAAGACAAUGUCCUUAAACAAUUUUUUUUUUUGAAGGCUUUAAUCAUGUUUUAUUCAUUCAAGAGAUUGACACAAAUAGAUGCCAACAGGGCCAAGUAAAGUUUAGAGACAUUCUCAAAAAGAAUAAAGCAAAGAGAUGAAUGUAGGAGAAUCGGAAGAACUUCUGCAAUCAAAGAAAGAUGACUUAACAUCACCAACAAAAGUGGAUAAAUACAUCUCCAAACCACCGUAAUUGGCGAACAAACUGACAAAAGCAAUUUCCAAAUAAAAUGAAAACUGAUAGAGGAAGUUACAAAGCCACAAGUCAUGACCUAUAACUUAAACAAAAUUUCACCUCCUAUGGAUCAAGUUUGAUGCAUACUAUUUCGGCGUCUUUCUUUAGGAUUCAACAACUUUUGUGGCUCCUAGUAACCGUGCACUUGGAAAUACUGGAUCACACGAACUGCAGCAAUCUUCUAAUUUGGUUUAUGCAAUCCAACUUAAUUGAUUCAAUGCAUGAGAAUGUGAAAAUGCCAAAACAAGUGUAAGAAAGGAGUAGGAGAGAAGGAUAUUGUUUCUUGUGUUUUGAGUCUCUAAUGCCCUUGGUAUAUAUAGAUCCAAUGGCACCUUAUGAGAAAAAGGCACUAAACAAAGAAAAGGCAAGUAUGAAAGGUUACCAAGGCUGCGUUUGGUUGAAGUGCAGAUUUGCACUCUGGUUCAGAUUUGCAUCUGUUUGAUUAGGUUUCAAAAAAGCAUUGAUUUUCGAUGCAAAUUUGUAUAUUUUCUUUGUAUGGAAGAGAGGAGAAAAUAUUGCUUUUUAAAAACGAAAAAAAAAAUUGCUCCUAUGGUCGGUCGAAGUAAAUAGGUAUUGUGGUUGCAUCAGUUUUGAGUUUUUUUUUUUUUUCUCCAAAACCCUCGAAGAAAAAGAGAGACAGAGGAGAACGGAGAGCGACUUUCAACUGCGAGCAACUCUGAACUGCGAACUAAAGGUAGCUGCGAGCGAUUGUGUAGAAACGGAGUAGAUAGAAGAGAAACAGAGUAAAAACGGAGUAGAACAACUCUGAACGACUCUGAACUGCCUUCGUUUUCACAGAUGUCGUGUUCGAUCCGUUUUUCCAUUCGUUGGAAUUUUCGUUUUAAGAGAGAAUCCUAACCUCUUCAUUUCUAGGGGUAAUUAAUCCAAGAAAAGGAAGGAAAAAGGCAAGAAAAGAAGGUUCAAAAAGACCAAAUUCAGCCCAGCCCAGUUGUGGAAGCAAGAGAGAGCACUUCGACCCAAGAAGAGCAAGUGGAUUCCUUAAGAAAACCCAAGAAAAGAAAGCCUAGUUAAGAGUAGAAUUUGGCCCAGCAAAGAAAGCCCAUUCUCAGCCCAAAAGAGCAGUUCAAAGUAUAGCUAUCAUGUGCUAAGAGAGAGYCUAAGUGCAGCCCAAAUAGCAGCCCUUAGGAGGCUUUCAAGAGAGCUCUAGAAAGUUCAAGAAAGGGGUGUAAUACACCCUAUUCUAGAGGCUUCAAGAAUAUAAGGAGGCCUCUAGGAGGGGGGAGAGGUGUUCAAUUGCUUGAGAGGAAGACUCUCCCACUCUUAGAGGUCCGGCCACCUUGAAAGAAGAGAAGAAAAGAAGGCUAGGCGCAAGGAAGAAGAAGAAGAAGGGCUAAAGGAGAUUAAGUCAAGCAAGCAAGAAGAGAAGGGGCUGGUCUGUUCUUGGGAAUCCAAAGAUUUAUUGCUGAUCGAUAGGAAGUUAUCAGUUCAGAUCUUAUACCGAAUUAGAAUGGUAGACUCUGUAGAGGGUCCAAUGCCACAGACAAGAUUUGUUCUCCACUGUUUGAAGCUAUUGACAGAUGCAUACCAGGGCCACACAUUGACAAAGAUGGUGCAUUGCAGAUGCUUGAAAUUGGCUGCAUAGAUGCUGAUCUUGUAGUUCAGAUCAAGGGACUUGUUGCAUGUGAAAUGAAUUCUAGAGAAGAGUUGAUAUGCACAGAGUGUUUGUUUGAAAACCAACUGGAUGAUCUAGAACCAGAAGAAGUUGUAGCUCUUAUGUCUGUCUUUGUAUUUCAACAGAAGAACCAGAAGAAGCUGAGCCUACUCUUACUUUCAAAAAUGCAUUCAGCAAGAGAUUUGCUAGAUUCUGUAAUUUCAAAAACAAGUCUUUUAACAAAAGGAUUUUUGUUAUUUUUAUAUUUA